AUGAGAGCAACAAUUAAGUUUCUGUUAAGACCACUGAGACCUGAAACUUUAACUGAUGCAUAUUGGUUGGCUGUUGAUAUUGAACAGGCUACUCCAGCCAGGAAACCGUAUCCUCUGACAUCUGGUACACAAAGACAUACAACUCCGUAUUAUAAACAGCCAGGUGCAAUUGCGGAUAAAGGAGCCGAAGCAACACAACCAAUGGUCAUACAGAGAGCUAGAGAACCUGGUAAGUGUUGGCGAUAUGGGGACAGUUGGUUUCAUGGGCAUAAAUGCAAACAGGCCCCUGUUAUUAAUUUGUUAACGGGAGAAGACCCCACUGAAUUACCAACUACAGAAGAACCAGAAGAAAUGACUGAAAUAGAUCAGCCAGAGCAACCAAAUGCUGAGGAGAACUGUAUGCAAAUUUCUUUGCAGGCCAUGAACACUGCCAGAGUAAGCACAUUAUCUGUGCUGGUCCAGAUUGGGGGCAAGCAAGCAGUUGCGCUAGUGGAUUCUGGGAGCAAUUCAACAUUUCUGAACUUGACAUUUACACUGACCACAAACUGCACUAUAUUGAAAGAUAAAUCUAGAGCUGUGACAAUAGCAGGUGGGGGUAUGUUGCGGUCUGGUGCUUAUGUCCCUACUACUAAAUUCCAAAUGGGCAAAGAACAGUUUGCACAUCCUUUCAGGAUUUUGCAUUUACCAGGGUAUGACAUGGUCAUUGGUCUGGCAAAGUAG
rnacentral:rRNA from 1 species